GACGAACGCUGGCGGCGUGCUUAACACAUGCAAGUCGAACGGAAAGGCCCUGCUUUUGUGGGGUGCUCGAGUGGCGAACGGGUGCGUAACACGUAAGUAACCUGCCCUUGCCUUUGGGAUAACUUCAGGAAACUGGGGCUAAUACCGGAUAGGAGCUCCUGCUGCAUGGUGGGGGUUGGAAAGUUUCGGCGGGUGGGGAUGGACUCGCGGCUUAUCAGCUUGUUGGUGGGGUAGCGGCUUACCAAGGCUUUGACGGGUAGCCGGCCUGAGAGGGUGACCGGCCACAUUGGGACUGAGAUACGGGCCAGACUCCUACGGGAGGCAGCAGUGGGGAAUAUUGCACAAUGGGCGGAAGCCUGAUGCAGCAACGCCGCGUGCGGGAUGACGGCCUUCGGGUUGUAAACCGCUUUCGCCUGUGACGAAGCGUGAGUGACGGUAAUGGGUAAAGAAGCACCGGCUAACUACGUG
rnacentral:rRNA from 1 species